rnacentral:rRNA from 1 species
AGUGAACGCUGGCGGUAGGCCUAACACAUGCAAGUCGAACGGCAGCACAGUAAGAGCUUGCUCUUACGGGUGGCGAGUGGCGGACGGGUGAGGAAUACAUCGGAAUCUACUUUUUCGUGGGGGAUAACGUAGGGAAACUUACGCUAAUACCGCAUACGACCUACGGGUGAAAGCAGGGGAUCUUCGGACCUUGCGCGAUUGAAUGAGCCGAUGUCGGAUUAGCUAGUUGGCGGGGUAAAGGCCCACCAAGGCGACGAUCCGUAGCUGGUCUGAGAGGAUGGUCAGCCACACUGGAACUGAGACACGGUCCAGACUCCUACGGGAGGCAGCAGUGGGGAAUAUUGGACAAUGGGCGCAAGCCUGAUCCAGCCAUACCGCGUGGGUGAAGAAGGCCUUCGGGUUGUAAAGCCCUUUUGUUGGGAAAGAAAAGCAGCAGGUUAAUACCCCACUGUUCUGACGGUACCCAAAGAAUAAGCACCGGCUAACUUCGUG